AAAAGGCUUCUUAGGGGGCUUGGAUUCCGUAUUUAAAUUGCUAGAAGCUCAAGCAUCACCUAAGGCAACCUGUGUUACACGCUAUCCUUCAGGGUCGAUCUGAUGUCUCAGUCCCUUUAGAGGCCCAGUUUAUCACUUUCAAGGCCGUCCCAAACCCUGGCUUACAGCAGUCAGUUUGUGAGUCUGGUUGCUGCGGUGUAGUAAUGAGACACCCCUGUGUGGGGUAGAGUCACAGGAUGGUUUGGGUUGGAAGGGACCUCAAAGCCCACCCAGCCACACCCCAAGCUGUGGGCAGGGCUGCCCCCCCCCCCCUGUAAAACUGUUCCACGUUUUCCUAUCACUAUCUGACUGUGUAAAAAAAGUUUCCUCUUGUCUACAAGCUCCCUUCGAGCACUGGAAGGCCGCAAUGAGGUGUCUGCAGAGCCUUCUCCAGGCUGAACAAGCCCCGCUCCCUCAGCCUUUCUUCAUACGAGAGGUGCUCCAGCCCUCUGAGCAUCUUUGUUGCCUCCUCUGGAUCCACUCUGAAAGCUCCAUAUCUUUCGUAUGCUGGAGGCCCCGCAGGAACAUGGUGGUUUUUUUCAUGGAGAGGCUCUGAGUGUGGCUCACCUCUGCGGAGCUCACCAUGCAGAGGACGCGUCCAGCCUUCCUGCGCAGGAAGCAAUCCUGAAGGUUAGAAGGAAGUGUGUACUUCUGCCUCUCAAGGAAGGGAUCUGUGCAAUGGCAUGACAGAGACUCAGGCAAGUGGCUUUGGUCUCCUCCACAUCCACUGCACAGCCACCUAACAAGAGCACUUUUGAAGACAUUGUGCUGCCUCCUGCCUCUUGUUGCCAACACCACUGAAAAUUUUGUUGGGCUAGGUGGCCUCAUACCCCCAUGUCACUGUUAGUAUGGGAUUGGUCACAUUCUCUCCCCAGCAGAAGCCAUGAGCUGUGUUGGGAGGCUGGCUGCGACAUGUUCUGGCAGAGUGCAGUGCUCCUGCUUCUCUAGCGUGGUGCUGGGAGCUGGGACUUUUCUCUAGGUGCAGCUGGCACAGAUCUAGCCUGAGAUCAAAGCCACUGGGGCUGGAUCACAGGUAAAAUGUUUUCAAGGUAAGAGACGUCCUCUUAGUUUCACAUAUCGGUGGAACCAUGAAUCACUCAGGAAUGUAAAGCCCAAACCCAAAUGUGGAAAAUCAGAAAUGCCUGUGACCUGAGCUGUAUAGCUGAGAGAUGAUGGCUACAGCUAGCAGUGAGGCAGGGAGCUGAGUGCUGGCUGUGCAGGCAGCAGGUGGACCACCGAGGGAAGCUGUAGAUUCAGCACGCCUGCCCCAUCCCUCCCUGGAGGGGUGGGUGGGGAGGACCAGCUCCUUGGGGCCACCCCAGGUGCCUGGGCAGGUGCCAGGCUGGCAGCUUAUCUGGCACUGGGCAGCAGUGUAAUCUGCCUGCUCCAGCCCUGGCCCGGUGGCUCCCAGCCACCCUCAUGUUUUGGAAGUGAGAUGGGUGCAUGUAUUGGAGCCUGGGGGUUGCAUAACGCCUUCGGUACCUACUGCGCUUCAAUGAGAUGAAACUCAUGUCUGAGCUACUCGGCUGUUCUGGAAGGCUCGGUGCCAUGUCUGUCCCGCUGUGUUUUUGCUCAGGGGAGCAAGGUGCUCCUCAGCUGGCUCAGCAUGAGCACAGGCUGUGCGGAAAUGUAGCUCUUCUACCAGGCAGUCUGAAGAAUGUGUGCGAAAAAAAAGAAAGCUGAGAAACUGGGAAGCGGAGAGAUGAUGUGACCAGCAAUCAUGGACUUCACGUAAACAAAUAAGUAAUUAAUUAAGUGUGAGCUUCUCGUCCAGUUAUGAUGGUGUUUGCAAUAACUAGAAGCUCCAAAAGCAAAAGAAAUUACACUGUUCUUAAAAUGAACGGCUGAAGUGGAAAAAAGAAAAAGAGAUCAGGUGUCCUCAUUUUCUUUUCAACUGAGACGGAAGUUGAUUUGGAAAUGUUCCUUGCUGAAACUGAAGUUGUAUUUCCAGUAGUUGGGAGGAGCUCCCAGAUUACAUUACCCCACCCACGUCUGGUUGCUUUCGGUUUACCUGGGGAGAUUCUGCAAGGAAACUGAAGUAGAAAAGGAGGACAGCAACGAAAGGAAGAGCACAGAGAACCUAUCUAAAAAGACAACAAUUUAAAGUAGUGCCUCAAACAGGUGAAAUAUUCAAAGUGCUGUUUCCACCUUAAGAUAAGGAACAGUCAUAUACAAGCUCUUCAAAGCUGAUACUUGUUUUUAUUUAUACAGUGCAUCUUUCUUCAGGGAUCAAUCUUCAGGAAGAUAAUUCAUUACGUGUCUAAAUUUAAGAGUAUCUAUCUACCAUUGAAGUCAAUGGAGCUUAAGUAGGGGCUUGAUAGCGUAAGUGUGCUUAAGAGCUUUCUUUAAAUAGCAGGGACAUAAUGUCAGUAUAUGUGAACUCUUUUAGAGAACCUGCAAAGGGCAAAAUACAUGAUUGAAAAAAAACCACAAUGAAAAUAGAUGAAGAAAAAAGCAGUGUGUACUGCGAUUGUACAGGUUCUUGUUAGUAUCUCUGGUAGGUGCAAAUCUCUAAGGAUAAGCACACUACCCAGAUGCUAGGUUUGCCUGUGUGUUAUUUGCCUGCAGACUGACAGCGAAUGUGGGUAAUGCAACUAGUUAGGCCAUUAUUAUACCAUGUGUACAGUAUAUAUAUUCAGGCCAUUAUUAUCACAGAAGCACAGAACUGUAGGGGCUGGAAGAGGCCUCCAGAGAUCAUUGAGUCCAACCGCCCUGCAAAGCAGGCUGUGUACAGCAGGUCGCACAGGUAGGCAUCCAGGCAGGUCUUGAAUAUCUCCGGAGAAGAACCCACAGCCUCCCUGUGCAGCCUGUUCCAGCGCUCCGUCACCCUCACUGCGAAGAAGUUCUUAUGCUAACUAGUAACAACCCGCUCGCCCUACAUGGGUAACGGGAAGGGACCUCUCUCUGUUUGCGGAGUGGGAACUAGGCAGAGCAGUUUGGAUUUUUGCUUUGUGCUUUUUGUGGGGGUGGGAAACAAAGAUUUCUUCUUUGAUCAGAGACUGCUUGGAGUUUGUGUGGUGAUAUAACAAACCGUGAACAUCCUUUAGAGAGAAAAUCUUUUUCAAAUGUUUCUUAACGACGCCAGAUGUUGUUUAAGAACUGCUGUACUCUGAACUCACAUCUUCUCCUUCGUACAACCAACCUCAGAAGAGAGCACGCUUCAUCUGCCCUGGGGCUGGUAACCUGUGCUGCCGCAGGGGGAAGCGGCUGCCAUUGUUUGCGGGCCCCCCGCAGCCGGCGGUGUCACCGGGGAUGGAGCCGGCUAAGAGCGUAAGACGCUAGCCGGGGCCGAUGCUUUCUGCUGGUGUUGCAGCUGGCUGCGGACCGGCCGAAGGACUUAUUGUGAGAAAUGCGUGCCUUUCCCUGCGCAGAACCUCCUGAGCAGGGUGAGAGCGAGCUUCCCAAGGAAGCGAAGCGUGGUGUUUUGGAAAACGCGGAUAGAGAGCCCAAACGCGUACGGUCUCUGCCCUCAGCGCUGGACGGGGGCUGCGUGCUUCCUGUGGGAGGCGAUAACCGCAUCUCGCACAACUUCCCAUUGCAACGUGCCUCCUCCUGCCCGGCGCCGCUUCGGUCCCCGGCUGCAGCCCGCGCCAGCCGUUUCCCACCCUAAUCUCAUUUCCUACAGCCGAGGACCGAAGCUCCGCGGCUCUGCCCUCGCCGCGUCCCCGCCGGCGGCCGACGCGGGGGAAGCUGAGGGCAGCCGAGGCGAGGCCACCGAGGAGAAGGGGCGGGCCGGGAGGCGGGCACCCCGCCGCCACGUCACGGAAUUCCAGGCGCUCGGCCAAUGGCGUCGCGGGGCGGGGGGCAGCGGCAGAGGGCGCCGG